rnacentral:rRNA from 1 species
CAGCAGCCGCGGUAAAACGUAGGUGGCAAGCGUUGUCCGGAAUUAUUGGGCGUAAAGCGCGCGCAGGCGGUUUCUUAAGUCUGAUGUGAAAGCCCCCGGCUUAACCGGGGAGGGUCGUUGGAAACUGGGAAACUUGAGUGCAGAAGAGGAGAGUGGAAUUCCACGUGUAGCGGUGAAAUGCGUAGAGAUGUGGAGGAACACCAGUGGCGAAGGCGACUCUCUGGUCUGUAACUGACGCUGAGGAGCGAAAGCGUGGGGAGCGAACAGGAUUAGAUACCCCUGUAGUCCCUGUCUCUUAUAC